rnacentral:tRNA from 1 species
GCCAGUGUGGGUAGUGGUUUGAGCGUUGGACUAGGACUCUAGAGACCAGGGUUCGAUUCCCCACUCAGCCA